GCAGCAUCUGUGCUUCUGCGGAUACAACUUUAUAGACAGGCAGAUAGUAUAUGUGCUGCAUUAUAGUUUCAUUUUAGAAGUAUUCAUAUUGUCUUGCUAUAAUCUGAGAAUCUUAAUACAUGCUGCAUCUUCAAAAAAUGAAGUUUGCAUGUUCUUCCCAUCUUCGCGUGGGUUUCCUCUGGGUGCUUUAGUUCCCCCCACAGUCCAGAGACAUGCUCUUCAAACAUAUGCCGGAAUAGUUGUCUGUUCAAUCUGCUGUUGCGACUAAUGAUAAGGGACUAAGCUGAAGGAAAAUGAAUGAAUGAAUAUUCGUAUUUGCAGUCAAAAAACCUUUCAUUCAUUUUUUAAGCAUAAACAUACGAAUAUUGAAUAUACUUUUUAAAAAUUUAUAUUGUUGUCUUGUUUAUUCUAAUUUGCACACAAAGCACCAACACACAGCACCUCAUAUUGACAAAAACAUAAUUGUUGACAUUUUUGCAGAUUUAUUAAAAUAGAAAAACUGAAAUAUCAUAUGGUCCUAAGUAUUUAGACCCUUUGCUGUGACACUCAUAUAUUUAACUCAGGUGCUGACCAUUUCUUCUGAAUCAUCUUUGAGAUGGUUCUACAAUUUUAUUUGAGUACAGCUAUGUUUGAUUAAACUGGUUGGAAUUGAUUAGAAAAGCCACACACUUGGCUAUAUUACAGUUAAUAAAAAUCAUCAGGUCAAAGAAACUGACUGAAUAGCUCAGAAACAUAAUUGUGGCUUAAACCUAAUUGAGUAUCUCUGGGGAGACCUAAAAAAGGCUGUCCACUGUAACAAACAUGGCUGAUUAAACACAUAGUUAUUUUGUUAAAUUUAACUCCAUCCAGCAAGAGCAAUUGUUAGUGUAUAAUCUGAUUUUAAAGGUAUUUACGACCCGGAAAGGAAUGUGUUGUUCUGCUGUACAAAGACAUGGUCAUGCUUCUAUAUAACCCAACUCUAUACUUAUGCUUCUUUUUAUGCAAUCCUUUAUUUUCUUUCUAUGUGUAAUCAGGAGUUCGCAACAAGUCCCUUGCUCAUAUAUAAAUCUUGUGUGUAAUAAUAAUAAUAUAAUUAAUAAUUGACAAUACUAUAUUUAAACAAGAUCAUAGAUGGUUCAUGUUUGAUGUCUUUGCAGAGCUACUUUGGUGUACUAAACGGUCGUUUACAUUUUUAUUAAUACGUUUGCGACAUUUUAACAUUUUAAGAAAUGUUAAACAUUCUUCGUCAGCAUUUGCCCAGAAUGCAUAUACAAAUCACUGAACUUAGGAACAAAGAAUCGUAAAAGUAUUCUUAGCAAGGUAAGUUUCUAUUUGUUCGCCUCUUCUUCUAAGGGCGGAAGAACACCAUCCUUAUAAAAGCUAGUGACCAAGGCCGCCAUGUAUAGAGUUCUUCUGAUCUGGCAACCAGAGAUCACAGGAGAAGAUUUGGAGGCAAGUCUUUUCCAACCUAACCCCAAGCUGUGCCAGACUCCAGUUUUGUCUUUCCAUUCAUCAAAGAUUCUCAGAUACAAAUUUAUCUCUCAUAGACCAAAUUCAGCAAAAAUCAACUGGAGCCUUACAAACUGCAUUGGCACCCUUUUCAAAUAGCAAGGUCAGGUAGGGGGCUACAAGAGAUCUCUGGGGCCUCUGAAUUCUUAAUCCGAGCCUGUCUGUGAGAGACACAGAUGUAUUAGAGCAACACUAUGUUAGGGCGGUAUAGUAGCACCCUCCGCUCUGAUCAAGGCAGCACCACUGGCAUUUCAGCAGCCCAAUUGCCCGCUCUACAACUUGUCAUGAUUGGGGUUUAGGGAAAAGGACCGAGGACCCAAGUGCAGAGUGAAUAGUUAUUUAUUUAUAAUAAAAUAAAAUAAAAGGCAAAAUAGACAACCCCGAGGGGGGAAACAUUAAUAAAACAAAUAAACAAUCAAAACAGACUAGGAUGGGAAGGCUGGCAGGGAUCAGGACUGAAACACUUUGGACUGGAACAAGGCAACAUACAACGUCGAACUGGCACAGGACAGCAGACAUGAGGAGAAUAUAAGCAGAAGUAAAUUAACAGAAAAAUAGGUAAACCUAAUAAACUAAUAAUGGGUAACAAGGAGGGUGGGACUAGACAACACCCUCUAGACUAGACUGUGCUCACAUAAAACGGGACAAGAACACGCAGCCAAUGAGAGAACUCAAAAAAAGGACAAGACUGAAUCACAUGGCCACAGAGUAAACACAGAGCCAUUUGCUUGGACAAAACAAACCUAGACACAAGACACGAGCACACGAUAAAUUAAAACACUUUACCGUGCGCUCACACACAAGCAACACGCAAGUUUCAUCCCAGCGGCUACCUGUCGUGAGAGGGUUUCACAAAAACAAGAAAAGAUCCAUGUGCAGCCAAAUAAAUUUAUUAAACUAAACAACGAUGAUCCAAAAAACUCAUUGCAGACAGGAAACGAGCAGAAAUCCAAAACAUUGAGAUGAUACAAAGAGAUCAAACAAACAAACCAAAUCACGAGGAACAAAAGUACAAAUGAAAAAUCCAAAGGCAACUGAAACACAAACGAACAAAGCUUAUAAAGACUGGACUCAAUGAAACAAACAAGGAACAGCUGAACAUGAUAAGUGAUCACGUGUGCAGAGAUACAAGCAAAAACAAAACAAAUGCUAGUGCCCUCAAGUAUCCACAUGAGGGCACUACAACAGGUGUGACACAACCAGACUUAGACGCUGUGAAUGAAACAGCCCGAUGUGGACAGAACAAAACAAACACAAG